rnacentral:rRNA from 1 species
CCUACGGGUGGCAGCAGUGAGGAAUAUUGGUCAAUGGGCGCGAGCCUGAACCAGCCAAGUCGCGUGAGGGAAGCCGGUCCUCUGGAUUGUAAACCUCUUUUGUCGGGGAGCAAAAGACGCCACGCGUGGCGUUCCGAGAGUACCCGAAGAAAAAGCAUCGGCUAACUCCGUGCCAGCAGCCGCGGUCAUACGGAGGAUGCGAGCGGUAUCCGGAUUUAUUGGGGUUAAAGGGUGAGCAGGCGGAAGAUCAAGUCAGCGGGAAAAUUGAGAGGCUCAACCUCUUCGAGCCGUUGAAACUGGUUGUCUUGAGUGAGCGAGAAGGAUGCGGAAUGCGUUGUGUAGCGGUGAAAUGCAUAGAUACCACGCAGAACUCCGAUUGCGAAGGCAGCAUACCGGCGCUCAACUGACGCUCAUGCACGAAAGUGUGGGUAUCGAACAGGAUUAGAUACCCCAGUAGUC